rnacentral:rRNA from 1 species
UACGUAGGUGGCAAGCGUUGUCCGGAUUUAUUGGGCGUAAAGCGAGCGCAGGCGGUUCCUUAAGUCUGAUGUGAAAGCCCCCGGCUCAACCGGGGAAGGGCAUUGGAAACUGGGGAACUUGAGUGCAGAAGAGGAAAGUGGAAUUCCAUGUGUAGCGGUGAAAUGCGCAGAGAUAUGGAGGAACACCAGUGGCGGAGGCGACUUUCUGGUCUGUAACUGACGCUGAUGUGCGAAAGCGUGGGGAGCGAACAGG